rnacentral:rRNA from 1 species
UGGGGAAUAUUGCACAAUGGGCGCAAGCCUGAUGCAGCAACGCCGCGUGAGGGACGACGGCCUUCGGGUUGUAAACCUCUUUUAGUAGGGAAGAAGCGAAAGUGACGGUACCUGCAGAAAAAGCACCGGCUAACUACGUGCCAGCAGCCGCGGUAAUACGUAGGGUGCGAGCGUUGUCCGGAAUUAUUGGGCGUAAAGAGCUCGUAGGCGGUCUGUCGCGUCUGCUGUGAAAAUCCCGAGGCUCAACCUCGGGCCUGCAGUGGGUACGGGCAGACUAGAGUGCGGUAGGGGAGAAUGGAAUUCCUGGUGUAGCGGUGGAAUGCGCAGAUAUCAGGAGGAACACCGAUGGCGAAGGCAGUUCUCUGGGCCGUAACUGACGCUGAGGAGCGAAAGCGUGGGGAGCGAACAGGAUUAGAUACCCUGGUAGUCCACGCCGUAAACGUUGGGCGCUAGAUGUGGGGCACCAUUCCACGGUUUCCGUGUCGCAGCUAACGCAUUAA